rnacentral:rRNA from 1 species
GAUGAACGCUAGCGGCAGGCUUAACACAUGCAAGUCGAGGGGCAUCACGGGUAGCAAUACCUGGUGGCGACCGGCGCAAGGGUGCGUAACGCGUGAGCAACAUGCCCUAUACAGGGGGAUAAUCCAGGGAAACUUGGUCUAAUAUCCCAUAGCAUUUAGAGGUGGCAUCACCAUUAAAUUAAAGCUUCGGUGGUAUAGGAUUGGCUCGCGUGACAUUAGCUAGAUGGUGGGGUAACGGCUCACCAUGGCUAUGAUGUCUAGGGGUUCUGAGAGGAAGACCCCCCACACUGGGACUGAGACACGGCCCAGACUCCUACGGGAGGCAGCAGUGAGGAAUAUUGGACAAUGGGAUGGAAAUCUGAUCCAGCCAUGCCGCGUGCAGGAAGACGGCCCUAUGGGUUGUAAACUGCUUUUUAUAUGGGAGCAAUAAGGUCUACGAGUAGACCGAUGAGAGUACCAUAUGAAUAAGCAUCGG